rnacentral:rRNA from 1 species
UACGUAGGUCCCGAGCGUUGUCCGGAUUUAUUGGGCGUAAAUCGAGCGCAGGUGGUUUAUUAAGUCUGGUGUAAAAGGCAGUGGCUCAACCAUUGUAUGCAUUGGAAACUGGUAGACUUGAGUGCAGGAGAGGAGAGUGGAAUUCCAUGUGUAGCGGUGAAAUGCGUAGAUAUAUGGAGGAACACCGGUGGCGAAAGCGGCUCUCUGGCCUGUAACUGACACUGAGGCUCGAAAGCGUGGGGAGCAAACAGG